ACGGCUACCACAUCCAAGGAAGGCAGCAGGCGCGCAAAUUACCCAAUUCCGAUACGGAGAGGUAGUGACAAUAAAUACUGAUACAGGGCUCUUUUGGGUCUUGUAAUUGGAAUGAGUACAAUUUAAACCUCUUAACGAGGAACAAUUGGAGGGCAAGUCUGGUGCCAGCAGCCGCGGUAAUUCCAGCUCCAAUAGCGUAUAUUAAAGUUGUUGCAGUUAAAAAGCUCGUAGUUGAACCUUUGGCCUGGCUGGCAGGUCCGCCUCACCGCGUGCACUUGUCCGGCCGGGCCUUUUCUUUGGAGAACCGCAUGCCCUUCACUGGGUGUGUUGGGACCAGGGCUUUUACUUUGAAAAAAUUAGAGUGUUCAAAGCAGGCCUUUGCUGAAUACGUUAGCAUGGAAUAAUAGAAUAGGACGUGCGGUCCUAUUUUGUUGGUUUCUAGGACCGCCGUAAUGAUUAAUAGGGACAGUCGGGGGCAUCAGUAUUCAUUGUCAAGGUGAAAUUUUGGAUUUAUUGAAGACUAACUACUGCGAAAGCAUUUGCCAAGGAUGUUUUCAUUAAUCAAGUGAACGAAAGUUAGGGGAUCGAAGACGAUCAGAUACCGUCGUAGUCUUAACCAUAAACUAUGCCGACUAGGGAUCGGGCGGUGUUUCUAUUGUGACCCGCUCGGCACCUUACGAGAAAUCAAAGUGUUUGGGUCUGGGGGGAGUAUGGUCGCAAGGCUGAAA
rnacentral:rRNA from 1 species